GGCACCGUGGCCAAGUGGCAAGGCAGAGCUCUGCAAAAGCUCCAUCAGCGGUUCGAAUCCGCUCGGUGCCU
rnacentral:tRNA from 1 species